UACGAAGGGGGCGAGCGUUGUUCGGAAUUACUGGGCGUAAAGGGCGCGUAGGCGGCCGAUCAAGUCAGAUGUGAAAGUCCUGGGCUUAACCUGGGGACUGCAUUUGAUACUGAUUGGCUUGAAUGCAGGAGAGGAUAGCGGAAUUCCACGUGUAGCGGUGAAAUGCGUAGAGAUGUGGAGGAACACCAGUGGCGAAGGCGACUCUCUGGUCUGUAACUGACGCUGAGGCGCGAAAGCGUGGGGAGCAAACAGG
rnacentral:rRNA from 1 species